rnacentral:tRNA from 2 species
GGAGAAGUAUCGAAGUGGUCAUAACGAGCCUGACUCGAAAUCAGGUUGCCUUAACGGGCACGUGGGUUCGAAUCCCACCUUCUCCGCCA